AUUUUGGACAAUGGGGGAAACCCUGAUGCAGCGACGCCGCGUGAGCGAUGAAGGUCUUCGGAUCGUAAAGCUCUGUCCUCGGGGAAGAAGGAUACCUUUUAGGUGUCUUGACGGUACCCGUGGAGGAAGCCCCGGCUAACUACGUUCCAGCAGCCGCGGUAAUACGUAGGGGGCAAGCGUUGUCCGGAAUUAUUGGGCGUAAAGGGUGCGUAGGCGGCCUUUUAAGUCAGAUGUGAAAGCCCACGGCUUAACCGUGGGAUUGCAUUUGAAACUGGAGGGCUUGAGUGCAGGAGAGGUAAGUGGAAUUCCUAGUGUAGCGGUGAAAUGCGUAGAUAUUAGGAGGAACACCAGUGGCGAAGGCGGCUUACUGGACUGUAACUGACACUGAGGCUCGAAAGCGUGGGGAGCAAACA
rnacentral:rRNA from 1 species